rnacentral:rRNA from 1 species
CCUACGGGAGGCAGCAGUGGGGAAUAUUGGGCAAUGGAGGCAACUCUGACCCAGCAACGCCGCGUGAAUGAUGAAGGUCUUCGGAUUGUAAAGUUCUUUUCUAAGGGAAGAAGAAAGUGACGGUACCUUAGGAAUAAGCCUCGGCUAACUACGUGCCAGCAGCCGCGGUAAUACGUAGGAGGCAAGCGUUAUCCGGCAUGACUGGGCGUAAAGGGUGCGUAUGUGGUGUGACAAGUUGGUAGCGUAACUCCGGAGCGCAACUUCGGAACUAUUACCAAAACUGUUGGACUCGAGUGCAGGAGGGGCAACGGGAAUUUCUAGGGGAGCGGGGGAAUGCGUAGAUAUUAGGAAGAAAACCGGAGGCGAAGGCGAGUUGCUUGACUGUAACUGACACUGAGGCACGAAAGCGUGGGGAGCAAACAGGAUUAGAUACCCGAGUAGUC